rnacentral:rRNA from 1 species
CGCUGAGUUUGAUCCUGGCUCAGAUUGAACGCUGGCGGAAUGCUUUACACAUGCAAGUCGAACGGUAGAGGGGGCAACCCCUUGAGAGUGGCGAACGGGUGAGUAAUAUAUCGGAACGUGCCCAGUCGUGGGGGAUAACGUAGCGAAAGUUACGCUAAUACCGCAUACGAUCUAAGGAUGAAAGCGGGGGAUCGAAAGACCUCGCGCGAUUGGAGCGGCCGAUGUCAGAUUAGCUAGUUGGUGGGGUAAAGGCCCACCAAGGCGACGAUCUGUAGCUGGUCUGAGAGGACGACCAGCCACACUGGGGACUGAGACACGGUCCAGACUCCUACGGGAGGCAGCAGUAGGGGAAUUUUGGGGCAAUGGACGCAAGUCUGACCCAGCCAUGCCCGCGUGCAGGAUG